AGGUGGCGGCAGCUUGCAUUUCCGUAGGGAUAGAGAGUAAAAGCAGAGAUGUGCUAUCUGGGCCAUCCAAUCUCCUAGCUGCAUUCAUAUACUUCAGGUGCUGCUGAAUCUUGGCAAAUAUGCUAGUGUACAUUAUAGCCUUAGCUAUGGCUAGCAUAUUGACAAAUAUGAUUAACAUACAUCAAGACCGCAGCCAGGAAUUUAUGGGCUGUGCAUAGCUGUUGCACUGAGUAGGGAGCCAAGCCAGAUCGCAGCAGGCAAAACCAACACAUUGGUUCCCCCAUCAAGUUAUUUCAACUAUUGCUAUUAAGCUGAAGAAACAACUAGUUCUAGCAACAGGAUAUAUCUUCUUGAUAAGACAAUCAAGAUCAGAAAAGAGGCAUUUCAACUUGAAAGCUGAAACUCAUCUGCACAAGCUGGGUUGUCUGAGGAAAUCGACAUUGAUAGGAACAUCUACAGCUUUCUCGUUUAGCAGCCUCAAUUCUCCUUCCCUACAUUUUCUUUGAGUACAAGGUACAAAUUACUUGACAGACCCUUCAAGUCCAGAAAGAAGAGUGAAAAUGCUCCAUGCAUUUGACAACAAGGGGUUCUUCAGUUGAGAGAUUGCUUUGGUAUAUAUUAUGCAGCUUAUGAAAGGUCAUUCUUCCAGGCUUAGUUUGCUGAAUUGACUGAAAAGAAGAACUGAGGUGGAGGUCUGUCAUCUCACUGCUUAAAGAAGGGGGGAUUAAUUGGGAACUGCAGACCCAUGCUCAAUAAACCAAGAUGAAUUCAAUCAAAUACCAUUGAUUCUACAUGCACCAUAUAUGAAUUUUACUGUGGACGGCUGCACAUUUUUGAGAAAUCACUGUCUAUAAAUAGCAAAGAUAAGGUGUAUGGCUCCCUGACUCCCAGUCUUCUGGAGGUGACUGUCCUUUUCAUUCAGGCCUUUGGCCACUGAGUAGUUAUCCCUUGACUACCUUUUAGGUGGGUUUGUAGUUGUGUGUGUUGGGUUUUAUUUGUAUUUUUUUGAAUUUUUUUUUGUUACACACACAUGUACAUGCGCGUGCAUACGUGUGUGCACACGCAAAUACGUAUACACACACACACACACAGGUAGUAGCUAAUUACCUUGUAAUGGGCUCUAAUAUCUGCUUCUAUUAUCUUAUGCCUAGUACUGUAUCCUGUUGCAAUUUUAUUUCCAGGAUGUUUAACAUGAUAAUGAAAACCUUACCAAAUGGGCAAAAACUUGACCACAAUUUCCGUUAAAGCUAGCAAUUGCUGUUUGGAUAAAGAGUUUCACAACUUCUAUCCCCCCAUUUUUAUCAGAGUGUUUUAUUUAUCUUUCUUGAGACAGUUUCUAAUCUGAUGGAGCUCCCCAUCUGCCUAUUCAGCAGUCUUCCUUAACUGACACCUCUUUUCAGCAUUGCUUUCUUUUUCUUUGAUUUGGCACACACCUUUUUUCAGUUUAUUUUAGACAUGCCUCUUCAAUGACCCUCCCUCCUUUAAAAAAUUUUGUGUGUGUGUGCACAUCCCUGCAAAUAUUGCAGUGUAUAAAGAAAUAAAGUUACCAUCUUUUGGC